CUCGUGCGCCCCCUCUUUUGCCCUGCCCUCCUUCUCCUUCCACCCACCCAGCCCGACACCCCUCGUCCCUCCCCCAACCACCCUGAACGGAUAGACAGGAGGAGGCUCAUCAUCUUCGUCGUCGCAUCCAGCAGCUGCUACUGCCAGUGCCAGGUGCCUUGUAAGCAGACUUCUGACUCCAGCUGCUUCUGGACUACAGUUCUGGGAAUCCUGACUCAUCACACUGCCCGAGUCUCCUGGAGGCUUCCCUCUAACUCCAGGCUUGCUGGUACAUGCCUGAAUCACAUUUGUGCUUGGGCUGGGACAUUUCCUGCUAUCAACACCGGAAGCAACUAGAAAACCAGAGGUCAAGGUGCUGGUGCUAAUGGUCAUUCUCCUUCCUGGCUGGAAGUUCCCUGGAGGGGGAUUUGUGGCAGCAGAAUUCUCACAUUCUCGAGGUGCUGAGGUGUGAGGAGACGGAGUGGGGAGCGUUAACUGUUGGAAGGAUCCCUUUUAUGGAUGCGUUACAUCGGGAACUAGCUAUCAGAGCAACUGGGGAGAAAUGGAAAACAGGUGCAGAAACAGGU